GUAGGACAACAAAUAAUUUGCACAUUGACCACAAGGUGGUGCUGUAAGCCUGUUGUACUACAUGAGCUAGUAAUUCCCACUUCUUUUUUCUUUCUGAGAUGUAGUUAGGUUGCAUAUACUGUAUUUGCAUAGGUUUCCCAUAAGAAAUCUGAGAACUGUUCUGUAAAAAGAAGGUUUUUUUUGUGCAACGUGAGAGCUCAUAGUCUGUCUGAUAAGCGUAUCAGAUCCUGUCAUCAGAAUCGCUCCAGGUGUGUGCAUAUGAAUCCGAAAGACUUCUUGCAGGCCUUCUUGAAUCGGUGACUCAUCCGAAUAUCCCAGUUGUCAAUGUGACCCGACUCUAUGGCCUGAUCGUGCCCCAGCCUGAGUCAGAACCACAAAACGCAACACUACACCACGGCCCUAUUCAUCACUCCAAACCUCCCCUUUCAUUUUUCUGUGGGUCGAUGGUUUGUUAUCACACACUCGAGUUAAACCUAAUGAAGUGAAGACCAGUAGCCAUGCACGUGAGACUUCAAAGCUUCAUUGCUUUUUUAUACACAGCGGUGGUCUGACAAAGACAACGAUAGAAAAGAUUGACUGUGGAAAAAGUUCAAAGGGAAAAGCAGAUUUCACCUGAGGUUGUUUUUUAACAAUAACAGGUAGUUCAAGCUGAUGUGGGACUUAACCUUGUUUCACCCGAGUGCUAAUCGGUUGUAAGAUCGUUGCCAUCAAAUAAAAUUGGUCUUAGUUCAUACAGCUGCAGUGAGAUACUUGUCUGUACCUGCAUGAACUAAAACAUAUCCUAGGGCGAUGGAAAGCACACCCUGGGAUUUUCAGACUCA